AUUGAACGCUGGCGGCAUGCCUUACACAUGCAAGUCGAACGGCAGCACGGGAGCAAUCCUGGUGGCGAGUGGCGAACGGGUGAGUAAAGUAUCGGAACGUGCCCAGUCGUGGGGGAUAACGUAGCGAAAGUUACGCUAAUACCGCAUACGCUCUAUGGAGGAAAGCGGGGGAUCGCAAGACCUCGCGCGAUUGGAGGGGCCGAUAUCAGAUUAGGUAGUCGGUGGGGUAAAGGCUCACCAAGCCGACGAUCUGUAGCUGGUCUGAGAGGACGACCAGCCACACUGGGACUGAGACACGGCCCAGACUCCUACGGGAGGCAGCAGUGGGGAAUUUUGGACAAUGGGCGAAAGCCUGAUCCAGCCAUGCCGCGUGCAGGAUGAAGGCCUUCGGGUUGUAAACUGCUUUUGUACGGAACGAAAAGGUUUGGCCUAAUAAGCUGAGCUCAUGACGGUACCGUAAGAAUAAGCACCGGCUAACUACGUGCCAGCCGCCGCGGUAA
rnacentral:rRNA from 1 species